UGCAAUUUCUAGGCCUAAGUUGAUGAUUAUGGAGUCAACAUUAUUUGUCGACCACCGACCGUUCCUAGAGCAAGUGGAGAAGGGCUUAGUACUUGGUAUCCAAGAUCCAAGUUCGAAUUCUAGUUGAUUUAUAUUUUCGGCUAAAUUUAUUUCUAAAUAAAAUAAAACGAAGUGGGUAGCGUGCUAUCUAUCUCUCAAAAAUAAAAAAAAACAAAACAUUAUUUGUCGACCAAUUAAUAGCCUUCUCUA
rnacentral:lncRNA from 1 species